rnacentral:lncRNA from 1 species
CAACAAAACAUGUUUUAGUACAAUUGUAUUUAUGUACUAUGUUAAUAUAUUAGUAUUUACUUUUUAUCGGACAGGCAGUUCAAUGUAUGAUUAUCAUAUUUUAAGAAAGUAUCGUUUGCCAUUAUUUGAGGUAAUAUGUAUAUAAUUGUUAACAUUGUUAUUGCAUUUAUCCAAAAAAUCGGCAGCUAUAAGGAGCAUACAUUUUUUUACUAUUUAUAACGCAGCAAGCAUGAACAAAUAAAAACCAUGCAAACGUUAUAUUACUUGUAUCGUCCAAAGUAAUAAUUAUAUAAGGUAUAAAUGCAAUUUUUUACGAAUUUGAAGGCAAAGUGAAUUCCUUUCUACAAGAAUGAUAAACGCUUGAUUUGAUAAGAGAUAGGGCAGAUUUUUGAAAUGAUGUUAGCUGGGCAAUAAUUGAUGAUAAUUAAAACAGGAAUCUAGUCGAAAAAUGAUAGAUAACAAAUCUUAAAAAAAAAAAAAAAUGACAAAAAAGUUUGGUUAGUUGUUUUAAAUUCUCCAGAAAUUGCAUAAAAUCAUUUACAACUGACAUAAGGUACAAAAACAAUCAAGGAAUUUAUAGUAAAAAUGUGGUGUCCAAUUUAGGAUUUCUAUAUCAUCCAUUUAUCUUAUCUUUUACAAUGUUAACACUAAAUUUUCUAGAUUAGCCAUGUAUCUUUAACAUGUUAAAUGACAAUACCAAACAUUGAAAACAAACAAGUCCCAAAUCUUAACUUCAUAUAUCUGGGGAUAUUUUUUUUACACACUGAAGUAUCCAAGUACACUCUGAGGGUACCAAAGGGUAUUAAAAUAUCCAUCUACGAAUAUGAAUGUAUAUAACAAAUCCAUCCCGGUAUUGGACCAAAUUAAGCGAUUUUAGAGUGUAACUUGAAAUUAAAUUAAACCUCUUUUUCAUUAUCUAAAAAUUUUUUCUUUCAAUUUUGGCAUUUGACUUAUUUUUAACGAAAUCUUGGAUACUACCUGUGGUAGAACCCUACAAUUAGUCAAAUAUAAGACUUUUUUUAACCAAAGAAAAAGAAACUAGAAUAAGUCAAAGGCGCUCAAUGUUGUUAGAGUGAUGUUUUACGAUUGUUUCCUGUACUUUUUUAUCAUAUGUACAAAAUGGGUAUAGAUAACCUUAAAAAAGAUUGAGAAUGGAAAUGAGAAUGUGUCAAAGAGACAAGUUUUCUCUUGAUUUCAACUAAAUUUUUAUAAUAACUGUUAUCUCAUAAACAUAUACAUGGAUAUAUAUAGAGAGAAUGUUUAAUUCUAAAACAGAUGCAGAUACCUGCGAUUUAUAAAAUAUAUUGCAGUGUGUAAUUUAAUGAUUUUCCUUUUAUAAAAAAAAGAUAUUUUCAUAUUAUAAUCAUUUUCGCUGUGAAUGCAGUUUACGUACACAGAGAUCCACAAAAACGGCAUUCAUUUUCAAUGAAAUAUGUAGUUCGAAUCAUUCGGUCAAAUAACGUAUCAACUACGAAAGGUACAGUUCAUCAAGUUCCUAAAUGUGCGUUUGAUGUAUAGGUUAUAUGAAAUAGUAAUGAAAUUGAAAAUAGAUUUUCUCCAAACUUGACACACAAAUAUGAAGAAUGCUGCUGUUAUUUAAUUUCAAUCAUAACAAAACAAUAGUAUAUAGAUUACUCGAUUAUCUAAACAUUUCAGAAUACUUAUGUUGUCUAGUUAUAAGAAGGAUAUUCCGACAGGGGUUGCAAAUAAAAUUUUUAAGCAAAUCAAAUCUAAGUUGUAUUUCAACAGAAGCCAGGCAAAAUAAGCAAAACAAUUUUCGUAUUAUGGUUCAAAUGUUUGAAUUGUUUAAUUGUCAAAAUAUGCAAGAGAUAACUGUCAUGACAAAAUAACAAAAAUCGGGGAUUAAAGCUACUUCUUUUAUAAAUGUACUUGCCGACAAAGAAGCACUUCCCAGAUAAUCAUGUAUAACGUUUUCCUGCAAACAAAUAUAAUAAUGAUAAGAUACAAAGUGAAUGUUUAAAACGCAGGAUUUCAAAGAUCAUACGACAUUGAAUCAAUCUCAUCAGGAACAUUUGAGAUCAAGACGUUAAGAAAACAUCACAAACUAUAUCAAAUCAACUUUUUCCGAGUUUGGUACAACCUUAUCCUUAAAGGAACCUACUUUUAUAACCUUGACAAGUACAGACAAUACGUAAUCAGAAGCAAUUGUUAAUGGGAUAUAAUUAAUAGGAGGGGGUUGUUCAAAAUGUCUGAAAUGACUUCAACAUGUUCAAUACGAAUAUGCACUAGACUUCACUAUUUUUUAAAGGUCAAACUAGCCUUCUUCUAUUGGAACUAUAGAAAUGGUCAAAUUCGUUGAUAACCAGUGUUCUUUUAAUCAAUAACAGCAGUAUUGUUUAGGAGAAAACUAUAUGCCUUUGUGGAUUAUUUGUGUACAUUGCUUACAGUGAUGUUUGAUUCCAUCAGAAAGUGUCUGUAGUUCUAUUUUGUUAUGAAAUUAAUAUACCAGAAACGCCUACCUGCUUUGUCUCUUUAUUGGAAAUGCAAUUUUUGAAAGAGUAUAGACAAUUUGUUACCUUUAUACAAUUUAAUGUUAUAUUGUAUUUGAUUUUAAAUCACUUUGUUUAUGAAAUGGAGAUUAACUUGAAAGAAAAUUCUAUCUGAUUUCACAGAACUCUAAACUUUAAACAUGCUUAAGAAAGAAGAAUAUUAAAUAACAUACGGUUGAUAAAUGUCUCGCAUUUUGAGAACACAACACAAUUAAUUCUCUUGAUUGAUCCUGUGAUAAGAUGCACGGGUGAUGUAUUAAACAUUUAUUUCUAACGUAUUAUUUGAGGUUGAUUGACAGUUAAAGAAAUUCAAAUUAGUUGAAUUAUUACUAAAUUCAUUUUUAAAUCACUCUUUGAACCCUUAUGGAUAUUGCUCAAACCUCAUUAUAUCAUGUUUAAUAUUUGUUUUCUAUUGUAUAUCUGAGAGUAAACAUUGUUUUUAACAUACUGUUUCUCACUCUUAACAAACAGUUGUUUGAUCAUGUUGUUUUUAUGGUGUAAUGUGUGUAAUUGUUUAGAGGUAUAAGGGUGGGUUUAAAUCUCACAAAAUAUGUUUCAUUCAACCGCAUGUUUACGCCUGUCCCAAGUCCCAAUCUCUAGCCUUGUUAUUCUUUUUAGUCUUGUAUGGUUUUUUUUUAAUUUGAUUUAUUUAUAUGUUUCGGGGUAAAAUGUGACGUUUGCAUUCACUGGAAACGUCUACAUUUUUGUUUUAGGGCCAGCUCGGAGAGUCAUGAUUUUCUCGCUGUGUAGCAAACUCAUCGGGGCUAUAGGCUGUUUUAUGCUUAAUUGUAUGUAGGUUUGAACCAUUUUCAAUUUUAAACGGUAGACUUUUUGUAUAUAUGUAUCAUUUGCACAUCCUAAAUGUUCCAAUCCAACAUGCAGUUUAUUGAGAACGAUUUCUUUGAAAAUACCUCAUUCACCAAAAAUACCAUGCAUAUCAAUUAGUUUUUAAUGUAAUGGAAAAGAGAAAAAAAAUCUAUAGCUUCUUACAGUAUCUUUGCUUAAGGAUUAAUUUUCAUACUCAUUUACUUUAUUUUUAACUCACAUUAACAAACCCUUUUUGUUUUAUCUUCGUUUAAUAAAAGUACUGAACAAAAAAUCAAAUACUGCAAUGCAAUGUCAAUUGAACGAUUGAUGUUUUCUUUAUAAAUGAAAUGCAAUGUGAUUUAGUUCGCUAAUUAAUGUAUGAUUAAAAUUGAGAAUGGAAAUUGGGCAUGUGUCAAAGAGACAACAACCCGACCAUAGAGCUCAAUAAUGGGUCUUCAAUGAAGCGAGAAAAUCCCGUACCCGGAGGCGUCCUUCAGCAGUCACAUAAAUAAAAUAUCUAUACUAGUUCAGUGAUAAUGGACGUCAUUCUUAACUCCGAAUUAUAAACAAGAUACUUAAAUUAAAAAUCAUACAAGACUAACAAAGGCUAGAGGCUCCUUUUAGUUUCAUCGUUUUAAUUUGUAUCACUUCAAGGUCAUUAUCUAUUAAUGUUAAACUGUUAAAACUAUUAAAAUGGCGCUUAAUUGACUCCGAUGAUUAUUGAGGUUAAACACCUAUCAUCUAUUAGCCAUGCAGACUUUAAUAACAUUUUUAUACAAGAUUUUGACCAAUUGUAACAUUUCUUUUUAAUUUCAUUAUUUAAAAAUGUGUUUUUUUAUAAGAUUUAUAAUUUUAAUGUACAUGAUACAUACAUUUGUAAACAUCGUGCUAUAUUGUCAAGAAAGGAAAAUCUAAUUUCAACAGAAGAGAUGAAAUAGACAACCUCUCUGCAUUUCUUGAUGCUUAAUUGGUAUUAGCUGACAUUCAUUUGUAUUUGAGAAUUUGAUUUUAAAAAUUAAAAUACAUUACAUACAUGUUUAUAUUUAUAGAAUAACUAAUCGAAGAAUUCAAAUAGAGAAAAACAUUCAACGAGUCAUCGAACACACAGAACAACAC